ACGUGCUUGCACUGAUUUUAACAAUGAAGCGAGUGGCGAACUGGUGAGUAACACGUGGGAAAUCUGCCCAGAAGCAGGGGAUAACACUUGGAAACAGGUGCUAAUACCGUAUAACAACAAAAUCCGCAUGGAUUUUGUUUGAAAGGUGGCUUCGGCUAUCACUUCUGGAUGAUCCCGCGGCGUAUUAGUUAGUUGGUGAGGUAAAGGCCCACCAAGACGAUGAUACGUAGCCGACCUGAGAGGGUAAUCGGCCACAUUGGGACUGAGACACGGCCCAAACUCCUACGGGAGGCAGCAGUAGGGAAUCUUCCACAAUGGACGAAAGUCUGAUGGAGCAAUGCCGCGUGAGUGAAGAAGGGUUUCGGCUCGUAAAACUCUGUUGUUAAAGAAGAACACCUUUGAGAGUAACUGUUCAAGGGUUGACGGUAUUUAACCAGAAAGCCACGGCUAACUACGUGCCAGCAGCCGCGGUAAUACGUAGGUGGCAAGCGUUGUCCGGAUUUAUUGGGCGUAAAGCGAGCGCAGGCGGUUUUUUAAGUCUGAUGUGAAAGCCUUCGGCUUAACCGGAGAAGUGCAUCGGAAACUGGGAGACUUGAGUGCAGAAGAGGACAGUGGAACUCCAUGUGUAGCGGUGGAAUGCGUAGAUAUAUGGAAGAACACCAGUGGCGAAGGCGGCUGUCUAGUCUGUAACUGACGCUGAGGCUCGAAAGCAUGGGUAGCGAACAGGAUUAGAUACCCUGGUAGUCCAUGCCGUAAACGAUGAGUGCUAAGUGUUGGGAGGGUUUCCGCCCCUUCAGUGCUGCAGCUAACGCAUUAAGCACUCCGCCUGGGGGAGUACGACCGCAAGGUUGAAACUCAAAGGAAUUGACGGGGGCCCGCACAAGCGGUGGAGCAUGGUGGUUUAAUUCGAAGCUACGCGGAGCAUCUUUACCAGGUCUUGACAUCUUCUGCCAAUCUUAAAAGAUAAGACGUUCCCCUUCGGGGACAAAAAUGACAGGGU
rnacentral:rRNA from 1 species